UCCCCUGUGAUAUUGUGUGUGGAUACCUGUUCCCCUUUCUGUCUGUGCCUCUGUUAUGGUCGUCCUGGCAACCUAUUAGGGGGCGUGGCGUCUACUCCGUGGUGUUGCCGGUGCCAGCUGAUUCCCCUUGAUGAUCACGCACUUGUUCCCUAUUCCACCACUCACCGGCAGCAUUUAAGCGGUGCUUUGACGUCUCGUUCCCGCCGGAUCGUUAGUCGUAUCUCGAUUCCGCAUCUCCAUUCACCUGCCUGGACUCUGCCUCGACGACCGGUUCAUCUGCUGCAUCCUGACCCACCUUCUCAUUCCUGACUACCUGGACUCCUGGAAUCACCUUCACUCCAUCUCCCCUGCGUGCACUCUGUCCAUUCUCCAUUAACUCUCUCUAAUAAAUCACUCUUCACGAUC